UAGGCGUAAAUGAUGCGAGUUAAGUGUGGGGGCAUCUACGAGAUGGCCCUGUGCUGUAGGGUAGCCGUUAAACUCGCUGCCUGGGGAGUACGGUCGCAAGGCUGAAACUUAAAGGAAUUGGCGGGGGAGGCACCACAACGCGUGGAGCCUGCGGUUUAAUUGGAUUCAACGCCGGACAUCUCACCAGGGGCGACAGCAGAAUGGUGGCCAGGUUGAUGACCUUGCUUGACAAGCUGAGAGGUGGUGCAUGGCGUAGUCGUGU
rnacentral:rRNA from 1 species